CACGUAGGGGACGAGCGUUGUCCGGAUUCAUUGGGCGUAAAGCGCGCGUAGGCGGCUCGGAAAGUCGGUCGUGAAAUGCCGGGGCUCAACCCCGGGACUGCGUCCGAUACUCUCGAGCUGGAGGCAGGUAGGGGAGAUCGGAAUUCCUGGUGUAGCGGUGAAAUGCGCAGAUAUCAGGAGGAACACCGAUGGCGAAGGCAGGUCUCUGGGCCGAUACUGACGCUGAGGAGCGAAAGCGUGGGGAGCGAACAGG
rnacentral:rRNA from 1 species